rnacentral:rRNA from 1 species
CCUACGGGUGGCAGCAGUGAGGAAUAUUGGUCAAUGGGCGAGAGCCUGAACCAGCCAAGUCGCGUGAGGGAGUACUGACCUAUGGGUUGUAAACCUCUUUUGUCGGGGAGCAAAAGCCGGACGUGUCCGGCUGUGAGAGUACCCGAAGAAAAAGCAUCGGCUAACUCCGUGCCAGCAGCCGCGGUAAUACGGAGGAUGCGAGCGUUAUCCGGAUUUAUUGGGUUUAAGGGGUGCGCAGGCGGAUUUUUAAGUCAGCGGUAAAAUCGUGGGGUUCAACCCCAUCCAGCCGUUGAAACUGGGGAUCUAGAGUGUGCGAGAGGUAUGCGGAAUGCGUGGUGUAGCGGUGAAAUGCAUAGAUAUCACGCAGAACCCCGAUUGCGAAGGCAGCAUACCGGUGCACAACUGACGCUCAGGCACGAAAGCGUGGGUAUCGAACAGGAUUAGAUACCCCUGUAGUC